rnacentral:rRNA from 1 species
UACGAAGGGGGGCUAGCGUUACUCGGAUUGACUGGGCGUAAAGGGCGCGUAGGCGGUUUGUACAGUCAGACGUGAAAUUCCUGGGCUCAACCUGGGGGCUGCGUUUGAUACGUGCGGACUUGAGUUCGGAAGAGGGUCGUGGAAUUCCCAGUGUAGAGGUGAAAUUCGUAGAUAUUGGGAAGGAACACCGGUGGCGAAGGCGGCGACCUGGUCCGAUACUGACGCUGAGGCGCGAAAGCCAGGGGAGCAAACGGG